rnacentral:rRNA from 1 species
CCUACGGGAGGCAGCAGUGGGGAAUAUUGGACAAUGGGCGCAAGCCUGAUUCUGCAAUGCCGCGUGUGUGAAGAAGGCCUUCGGGUUGUAAAGCACUUUUAUCAGGAGCGAAACGCUGUCGGCUAAUACCCGGCGGAACUGACGGUACCUGAGGAAUAAGCACCGGCUAACUUCGUGCCAGCAGCCGCGGUAAUACGAAGGGUGCAAGCGUUAAUCGGAAUUACUGGGCGUAAAGCGUGCGUAGGCGGUUUUUUAAGUCUGCUGUGAAAUCCCCGGGCUCAACCUGGGAAUGGCAGUGGAUACUGGAAAGCUAGAGUGUGAUAGAGGAUGGUGGAAUUCCCGGUGUAGCGGUGAAAUGCGUAGAGAUCGGGAGGAACAUCAGUGGCGAAGGCGGCCAUCUGGAUCAACACUGACGCUGAGGCACGAAAGCGUGGGGAGCAAACAGGAUUAGAUACCCUGGUAGUCCACGCCCUAAACGAUGCGAACUGGAUGUUGGUCUCAACUCGGAGAUCAGUGUCGAAGCUAACGCGUUAAGUUCGCCGCCUGGGGAGUACGGUCGCAAGACUGAAACUCAAAGGAAUUGACGG